rnacentral:rRNA from 1 species
UUCUUAUUUAUUAUAAUAAGUAUAACCUGCUCAAUGAUAUAUUUUAAAUAGCCGCAGAUAUUCUGUGCUAAGGUAGCAUAAUCAUUUGCUUUCUAAUUAAAAGCUAGAAUGAAAGGUUUAACGUUUUAAUUUCUUUUUUAUUUAUAUCUUAUUAAAAUUUUAUUAAAUAUAAAAAUAUAUUUAUAUAUUAAAUAGACGACAAGACCCUGUUGAACUUAACUUUAGUUUAGCUGGGGCAGCUUAUUAAUUAUAAUUUUAAUUAAAUUUUAUUUAAUGAAUUAUCCAAUAUAAUUGAUUAAUUUAUCAAGUUACCACAGGGAUAACAGCGUAAUAUUAAUUUAAAGCUCAUAUUUAAAUUAAUGUUUGCGACCUCGAUGUUGAAUUAUAAUUCUAUAUUAACGCAAUAGUUAUAAAAGUAGGUCUGUUCGACCUUUAAAACAUU